rnacentral:rRNA from 1 species
UACGGAGGGGGCUAGCGUUGUUCGGAAUUACUGGGCGUAAAGCGUACGUAGGCGGCUUUGUAAGUUAGAGGUGAAAGCCCGGGGCUCAACUCCGGAAUUGCCUUUAAGACUGCAUCGCUUGAAUCAUGGAGAGGUGAGUGGAAUUCCGAGUGUAGAGGUGAAAUUCGUAGAUAUUGGGAGGAACACCAGUGGCGAAGGCGGGUCUCUGGGCCGAAAUUGACGCUGAGGAGCGAAAGCGUGGGGAGCAAACAGG